GGGCGGGUGCACCUCACUUUCCCUCGCAGUCCGUGCUCUUUGCUUGGCUCACAGGUCUUCAACCGUCCCUGCCAAGUUACCGACUCUUUCUCUCCCUGACUUGAGCCUCCAUCUUUCUUGUAACUGCCUUCCUGUCUUGAUAGGAUGAUGGAAACCAUCCGGAGAUGGCCUUAGGGACAGUGUAGCUUGACCUCACGCUGACGCCAUUCCCUUCUCAGCCACUCAACCUGAUUCCUCCACCGAUGGGAUAAACCAGUUUGCAGAGAAUGGGGAGAAAUAGGUCCGAACUUAAAAGAGACAGUCCCCUACAUUUACCAGCAGAAUUUCUACUUCUAUGAUGAAAUCUGAAAUUGUGGCUCACCGCCUCUAAG